rnacentral:rRNA from 1 species
AGUGAACGCUGGCGGUAGGCCUAACACAUGCAAGUCGAACGGCAGCACAGUAAGAGCUUGCUCUUACGGGUGGCGAGUGGCGGACGGGUGAGGAAUACAUCGGAAUCUACUUUUUCGUGGGGGAUAACGUAGGGAAACUUACGCUAAUACCGCAUACGACCUAUGGGUGAAAGCAGGGGAUCUUCGGACCUUGCGCGAUUGAAUGAGCCGAUGUCGGAUUAGCUAGUUGGCGGGGUAAAGGCCCACCAAGGCGACGAUCCGUAGCUGGUCUGAGAGGAUGAUCAGCCACACUGGAACUGAGACACGGUCCAGACUCCUACGGGAGGCAGCAGUGGGGAAUAUUGGACAAUGGGCGCAAGCCUGAUCCAGCCAUACUGCGUGGGUGAAGAAGGCCUUCGGGUUGUAAAGCCCUUUUGUUGGGAAAGAAAAGCAGCAGGUUAAUACCCCGCUGUUCUGACGGUACCCAAAGAAUAAGCACCGGCUAACUUCGUG